rnacentral:rRNA from 1 species
GACACUGUGUGUUGUUGGGUAGGGGAGCGUUCUGUAAGCCUGCGAAGGUGGCCUGUGAGGGUUGCUGGAGGUAUCAGAAGUGCGAAUGCUGACAUAAGUAACGAUAAUGCGGGUGAAAAACCCGCACGCCGGAAGACCAAGGGUUCCUGUCCAACGUUAAUCGGGGCAGGGUGAGUCGACCCCUAAGGCGAGGCCGAAAGGCGUAGUCGAUGGGAAACAGGUUAAUAUUCCUGUACCUGGUGUUACUGCGAAGGGGGGACGGAGAAGGCUAUGUUGGCCGGGCGACGGUUGUCCCGGUUUAAGCGUGCAGGUGUGUGUUCCAGGAAAAUCCGGUUCACUUUAACACUGAGGCGUGACGACGAGGCACUACGGUGCUGAAGCAACAAAUGCCCUGCUUCCAGGAAAAGCCUCUAAGCCUCAGGUAACAUCAGAUCGUACCCGAAACCGACACAGGUGGUCAGGUAGAGAAUACCAAGGCGCUUGAGAGAACCCGGGUGAAGGAACUAGGCAAAAUGGUGCCGUAACUUCGGGAGAAGGCACGCUGACACGUAGGUGAAGCGGUUUACCCGUGAAGCUGAAGUCAGUCGAAGAUACCAGCUGGCUGCAACUGUUUAUUAAAAACACAGCACUGUGCAAACACGAAAGUGGACGUAUACGGUGUGACGCCUGCCCGGUGCCGGAAGGUUAAUUGAUGGGGUCAGCGCAAGCGAAGCUCCUGAUCGAAGCCCCGGUAAACGGCGGCCGUAACUAUAACGGUCCUAAGGUAGCGAAAUUCCUUGUCGGGUAAGUUCCGACCUGCACGAAUGGCGUAAUGAUGGCCAGGCUGUCUCCACCCGGGACUCAGUGAAAUUGAACUCGCUGUGAAGAUGCAGUGUACCCGCGGCAAGACGGAAAGACCCCGUGAACCUUUACUAUAGCUUGACACUGAACACUGGUCCUUGAUGUGCAGGAUAGGUGGGAGGCUUUGAAGUGUGGACGCCAGUCUGCAUGGAGCCGUCCUUGAAAUACCACCCUUUAAUGGCUGGUGUUCUAACGUAGACCCGUGAACCGGGUUGCGGACAGUGUCUGGUGGGUAGUUUGACUGGGGCGGUCUCCUCCUAAAGCGUAACGGAGGAGCACGAAGGUUGGCUAAUCCUGGUCGGACAUCAGGAGGUUAGUGCAAUGGCAUAAGCCAGCUUGACUGCGAGCGUGACGGCGCGAGCAGGUGCGAAAGCAGGUCAUAGUGAUCCGGUGGUUCUGAAUGGAAGGGCCAUCGCUCAACGGAUAAAAGGUACUCCGGGGAUAACAGGCUGAUACCGCCCAAGAGUUCAUAUCGACGGCGGUGUUUGGCACCUCGAUGUCGGCUCAUCACAUCCUGGGGCUGAAGUAGGUCCCAAGGGUAUGGCUGUUCGCCAUUUAAAGUGGUACGCGAGCUGGGUUUAGAACGUCGUGAGACAGUUCGGUCCCUAUCUGCCGUGGGCGCUGGAGAACUGAGGGGGGCUGCUCCUAGUACGAGAGGACCGGAGUGGACGCAUCACUGGUGUUCGGGUUGUCAUGCCAAUGGCACUGCCCGGUAGCUAAAUGCGGAAGAGAUAAGUGCUGAAAGCAUCUAAGCACGAAACUUGCCCCGAGAUGAGUUCUCCCUGAGACUACAAGUCUCCUGAAGGAACGUUGAAGACGACGACGUUGAUAGGCCGGGUGUGUAAGCGCAGCGAUGCGUUGAGCUAACCGGUACUAAUGAACCGUGAGGCUUAACCUU